rnacentral:ncRNA from 3 species
CUCUUAUGAAGAGCGGUGGAGGGACUGGCCCUGUGAAACCCGGCAACCAUUCAACACUUGUUGAAAAGGUGCUAAUUCCUGCAAAGCGUCAUGCUUUGGAAAAUAAGAG